CACCUGCCGUAAAUUUACCUGAUUGCCUGGACUCCUGGGCUAUUUAAGCUGAGGACUCAGAAGGCUUCUUCGCUGGGUCGUUGAGUUACUCUCGUUCUCGGACUCGUCCAUACCCCCGAUCUGUUUCACUGGUGGUGUGGAGUGAGAGUGAGAGUGCAGAAAACAAAUACGAGAGGAGCGAGUGAGUGGAGCGUGUUUGGAUUCAGAAGAGUGCCGAAGACAAACUGGGAAGGAGCGAAUGGGCGGAGCGUGUUUUGGACUUUCUCCCCUUUUUCCCCUGGACCGUUGCAUACCCCUGCCCUGUACACUGUAUAUACUUUCACGUGGUGUUUUGUAAAUAAAUUUACGACUGCUAUUCUAGUUCAGCUGGUCUGCGCCUGAGUCCAUUUUCGGCUGCGUGACACAAGAUGAGAUUUAUCCAGGACGUACGGCAGACCAUUCGUGAAAACGGAAUAGAGAAGUGGACCGAGGCAGCUGGCUUGGGACCACAGUUCAUUUCACAGCCCUCAGAGAAAUAAUCAUUAUAAUAAACCUUUUGCCUUCUUCCAGACAAAUAACUUUCCAUCCAGCACAAAGCAGCUGGUGAAAAAUCUAUAACAUUCUAGUUUAUCAAUCAAAAGAUCGUGAUUUAUUAAAUCAAAAGCAGCACUAAAGUCCAAGAAUACCACCCCGACCAAAUUCCCAUCAUCUAGAUGUUUAUGCAGUUAUCUGUCAUAUGAGUGAGAGCUGAGCUGGUGGCAUGACCAGGGUUGUAAGCAUGUUGAAACUGAGUGAGUAGAUGAUUUUCUGUUAAGUAAUGUUGAAUUUGCUCAUAGACAAUCCUCUCCAUAAUUUUACUUAGAACAGGGAGCAGACUAAUAGGUCUGCUAUUGACACCAUUAGAAACAGCAUUCUUGUUUUUAGGAAUAGGAAUUAUUUUCGUUUCUUUCCACUGCAAUGGAAAUAAGCUGCAUGCCAAAGAUCUAAUAAAUAUGUGACAUAUAGGAAGGGACACAAACUUGGCUGCAACUUUGAGCAGUUUACUGUCUGUGUUAUCAGAGCCACAGCAUGUAUCGUCAGGAAGUGAUAUCAAUAAACGCUCUACCAUCUCAA